rnacentral:lncRNA from 1 species
CUCUCUCCUACAAACUCCAAACGGUUUUUCUUCAAGAAUCAUGCAUCAAAAUGCUUUCCUCCACCUUCCAAAACAGAGAAUGACUUCAAGAAACCAAGGUUCAAGUUGCAAAUGAACACGAACAAUAAACCCCAAACUUCUACUCAUCAACCCAACUUUAACACUACCAUUUCUUCAAGUUUCUUUGCAAAAACGAAAAUGAACACCAAGCUAUCAAUUCCAGCUCUNUCCAGCCACAAUAACAACCCCAAAGUCUGGUUCC